rnacentral:rRNA from 1 species
UACAGAGGCCCCGAGCGUUAUCCGGAAUUACUGGGCGUAAAGCGCAAGUAGUCGGUUUUUGUAGUCUGAUGUUAAAUCUCAUGGCUCAACUGUGAGACCGCAUCAGAAACGCAAGGACUAGAGCGAGUUAGAGGCAAGCGGAACGUGUGGUGUAGCGGUGAAAUGCGUUGAUAUCACACGGAACACCAAAAGCGAAGGCAGCUUGCUGGGACUUUGCUGACGAUCAGUUGCGAAAGCGUGGGGAUCAAAAAGG